AUUGAACGCUGGCGGCAUGCUUUACACAUGCAAGUCGAGCGGCAGCGCGGGGGCAACCCUGGCGGCGAGCGGCGAACGGGUGAGUAAUGCACCGGAACGUAUCCUCGAGUGGGGGAUAACCCAGCGAAAGUUGGGCUAAUACCGCAUGAGCUCUGAGGAGGAAAGCGGGGGACCUGCGAGGGCCUCGCGCUGGAGGAGCGGCCGAUGUCCGAUUAGCUAGUUGGUGGGGUAAAGGCUUACCAAGGCGACGAUCGGUAGCUGGUCUGAGAGGAUGAUCAGCCACACUGGGACUGAGACACGGCCCAGACUCCUACGGGAGGCAGCAGUGGGGAAUUUUGGACAAUGGGGGCAACCCUGAUCCAGCCAUGCCGCGUGAGUGAAGAAGGCCUUCGGGUUGUAAAGCUCUUUCGGACGGAACGAAAUGGGCGGGACUAAUACUCCUGUCUGAUGACGGUACCGUAAGAAGAAGCACCGGCUAACUACGUG
rnacentral:rRNA from 1 species